AGUGAACGCUGGCGGUAGGCCUAACACAUGCAAGUCGAACGGCAGCACCGUAAGAGCUUGCUCUUACGGGUGGCGAGUGGCGGACGGGUGAGGAAUACAUCGGAAUCUACUUUUUCGUGGGGGAUAACGUAGGGAAACUUACGCUAAUACCGCAUACGACCUACGGGUGAAAGCAGGGGAUCUUCGGACCUUGCGCGAUUGAAUGAGCCGAUGUCGGAUUAGCUAGUUGGCGGGGUAAAGGCCCACCAAGGCGACGAUCCGUGGCUGGUCUGAGAGGAUGAUCAGCCACACUGGAACUGAGACACGGUCCAGACUCCUACGGGAGGCAGCAGUGGGGAAUAUUGGACAAUGGGCGCAAGCCUGAUCCAGCCAUACCGCGUGGGUGAAGAAGGCCUUCGGGUUGUAAAGCCCUUUUGUUGGGAAAGAAAAGCAGCAGGUUAAUACCCCGCUGUUCUGACGGUACCCAAAGAAUAAGCACCGGCUAACUUCGUG
rnacentral:rRNA from 1 species